rnacentral:rRNA from 1 species
UACAGAGGUCUCGAGCGUUAGGCGGAAUCACUGGGCUUAAAGCGUGUGUAGGCGGAUCGUUAAGUACCUUGUGAAAUCCCACGGCUUAACCGUGGAACUGCUUGGUAUACUGGCGGUCUUGAGCCAGCUAGGGGCUACCGGAACAAAUGGUGGAGCGGUGAAAUGCGUAGAUAUCAUUUGGAACGCCAAUGGGUGAAAACAGGUAGCUGGGGCUGUGCUGACGGCUGAGACACGGAAAGCCCAGGGGAGCAAACGGG